UACGAAGGGGGCUAGCGUUGCUCGGAAUCACUGGGCGUAAAGGGUGCGUAGGCGGGUUUUUAAGUCAGGGGUGAAAUCCUGGAGCUCAACUCCAGAACUGCCUUUGAUACUGAAGAUCUUGAGUCCGGGAGAGGUGAGUGGAACUGCGAGUGUAGAGGUGAAAUUCGUAGAUAUUGGGAAGAACACCGGUGGCGAAGGCGGCUCACUGGCUCAUAUCUGACGCUCAGGCGCGACAGCGUGGGGAUCAAACAGG
rnacentral:rRNA from 1 species